rnacentral:rRNA from 1 species
UACGUAGGUGGCAAGCGUUGUCCGGAUUUACUGGGCGUAAAGGGCGUGCAGGCGGUUUGUUAAGUUCAGGGUGAAAGCUCCCGGCUCAACUGGGAGAGGUCCUUGGAUACUGGCAGACUUGAGGAGGGUAGAGGAGAGUGGAAUUCCCGGUGUAGUGGUGGAAUGCGUAGAUAUCGGGAGGAAUACCAGUGGCGAAAGCGGCUCUCUGGUUCAAUACUGACACUGAGAUGCGAAAGCGUGGGGAGCGAACGGG